rnacentral:rRNA from 1 species
AGGAUGAACGCUGGCGGUCUGCUUAACACAUGCAAGUCGAACGGAGUAGAAAUACUUAGUGGCGGACGGGUGAGUAACGCGUGAGAAUCUACCUUCAGGACGAAGACAACAGUUGGAAACGACUGCUAACCCCCGAUGUACUGAAAAGGCAAAUAUUUAUAGCCUGAAGAAGAGCUCGCGUCCGAUUAGCUAGUUGGAGAGGUAAAAGCUCACCAAGGCGACGAUCGGUAGCUGGUCUGAGAGGACGAUCAGCCACACUGGGACUGAGACACGGCCCAGACUCCUACGGGAGGCAGCAGUGGGAAUUUUCCGCAAUGGGCGAAAGCCUGACGGAGCAAGACCGCGUGGGGAAGAAGGCUCUUGGGUUGUAAACCCCUUUUCUCUGGGAAGAACGCAAUGACGGUACCAGAGGAAUCAGCAUCGGCUAACUCCGCGCCAGCAGCCGC